rnacentral:lncRNA from 1 species
GCAGUGAGCAUGAUUCAGGGGAAAUGGAAGCUCCCCUGUACGUUGAAGGACCAGAAAAGGGCAGGUGCUCAUGUACUGUGGUGUAAUUCUAUUCAUUCACUGUGCAAAGUAUGUGGUUAAUGAGCAUUACAUAUUACUGCUAAAGCAGUUUGUCCUCUUGUGCUCUGCAGUGAAGGCUCAGACUGCUCCUCCACUUUCCCCAACACACACCUGCAUUAUGCCCACACAGAAUCGUGGAAUCAAAGAUAUACAUCAUAGACAUACAGCACUCCCCCAGCCUAGGAAGGUGAGAUGCAAGAGGAGAUGUAGCACAGACUGUGAGCAGGUGAAUGUGCAGGAUCCUUGGUGUUCAAGGACCACGUUUCCAAUUGCUAAGAUGCUUGUCAAACUUUAAGCACCAUGCCAGCACACCGAGUAUGCGGCCCGCAGGGAAUAACUAUGGAAUCAGAAAUGAGGAGGCAGGGAGGACUGCAGCCUGGAGGCGGUGAGGACGAGGAGAUGGAGGACCGCCGCCGGAGCAGGGCGGGUCCCGCUGGUAGGGGCUUAUCGCACAGGCCCAGGCCUACCGCUGGCACGCGUGGUGCGCGUCGAGCUUCUGGCCGAGGUAACAGCGUCCCUAUCAGUAAAGUAGCGCAGAAGGAAAGCUGCCACCCCACCCUGUUUCCCUCUUUUGGGUUUGAACACUCGGCCCGUACAGCCACGGGCAGCUACUGCUGCUCUCGCGCCCGUGGUUACCGCGCCGCCAACUGCCGGGCAGGAACGCGCCGAGCCCUGCGGCCGUUCGAGGAGAGCGGCUCGCGGCACUGCACCGCGGCCCCCAAGGCCACGCCCAUUCCCCUCCGCACUUCGUCGCUCGCCUUCCCCUCCCCGAGCC